UUGGGAAUUUGGUAUUUAGGAUUGGGCAUUUAAUCAUUUAGCCAUUUAGGAUUGAGGAUUGGGGAUUUGGGGAUUUAGGAUUGGGCAUUUGAGGAUUGAGGAUUGGGGAGUGUAUGCAAAUUAGGAGGCGUGGCCCAAAUACUGGAGGCUGGGUUUGAAAUGGCUGGUGCGCAGAGGCACCUUAUGGACAGCAGAGGGAGCUCCCAGUGCUAAGGAACACACUGUAAUGAAACCAAACGGAGCAAGUGAGCGGCUUGAGCGAGGACUGUGUGAUAACUUCAACUUAAUGACAGCUUUGUAACAUUUGUGGCCUCAAACACAAAGUCACCAGUGAAAGGAGUGCUAUCGUUCUGACGACGAAAAAGCAGCAGACAGACAGUGCAGCAGAUGUUUCACCUGGACAUGAAGGACCACUUGUUGUCACAGCUUUGGGUCAGAGAUUUGCUGCAGUGUUUCCAGAAGUGCUCAC